rnacentral:rRNA from 1 species
UACGUAGGGGCUAGCGUUGUCCGGAUUUAUUGGGCGUAAAGAGCUCGUAGGCGGCUUGUUGCGUCAGCUGUGAAAACCCGCACUCAACUGUGGGCUUGCAGCUGAUACGGGCAGGCUUGAGUUCGGUAGGGGAGACUGGAAUUCCUGGUGUAGCGGUGAAAUGCGUAGAUAUCGGGAGGAACACCAGUGGCGGAAGGCGACUACCUGGCCUGUUCUUGACGCUGAGGCGGCGAAAGCUAGGGGAGCAACGGG